UACAGAGGGUGCGAGCGUUGUCCGGAAUCACUGGGCGUAAAGGGCGCGUAGGUGGCGACCCAAGUCGAUGGUGAAAGCUCGCCGCUCAACGGCGAGUCGGCCACCGAUACUGGGUUGCUCGAGCACUGUAGAGGCUAAUGGAAUUCCGGGUGUAGCGGUGGAAUGCGUAGAGAUCCGGAAGAACACCGGUGGCGAAGGCGGCAUCCUGGACCAUUACUGACGCUGAUCCGCGAAAGCUAGGGGAGCAAACGGG
rnacentral:rRNA from 1 species